AGAUCCUGCCGCUCCCGCGCCGCUACCGCCUCCGCCCCGCUGCCCGCUAAAUUCGAGGCUGAGGCCUGAAACUCGCGGCUCGUCUCUUGAGGAAGUUAAAUUUCCUUCUGUCUAUCUGUUUAUAGAGGCGCUAUCAAAGCUUCAAAGCUCGCGGCUCGUACAUUUCAAAGUCAAAAUUUGACUAUUCAAAUAAUACUUACAAAUCAUCAAAUGUUUUAAGAAAAAAACACUGAUAAAAAACCUUAAAGUUUUGCUCUUAGCGAGCCUUUACAUGACUUAUAAACUUUCCGUUUUACAGAGGCGCUUUCAAAUUGAAAUUGAAUUUGUUAAUGAAAGUAGUGAAGAAAACACUUCUCCAAAAUAUUAUGCGAUAAAAUCUUUGAAUACGAUUAUUCUAAGACUGGGUUUUUUGAUUGCCCAAGGGUCAUAAGUGAUUGAAAGUGAGUCGUGUUCAUUAAGUCGUUGCUGCUGCAUUGUGAUGUGGACAAUGCGAUCUUGACAUUAUGGCACCAUUAUGCUCACUUUGAGCUCAUUCUGACCCAUUCUGCGAAUGGGCGAGCUAAGCAUUCUUGCAUUUGGUCGCUAAAGUGUUUCACAAUAGUCCUUCGUGGGCUGCUGCAUAUAAUGAAUAUGUUCAUAAGGCGUUUCGUGGGCCGUAUUUUCCCUGCACCUGACGUAGGUGAGGUUUCGUCUCGUACAUUGUUUUCUGUAUUUUCUAUAAUAUUCUUUUUUUAUAUUUCUUAAUAUUAUGGGUGUUGUUCAUUUUUAUAUAAAAAUGUUUGACACCUAUCUUUAAUCGGAUAAUAAUGUUAAAGAUUGGUGUGUAGUGAUAUAAUUAUAAAAAAAUAUUUCAAGUAACAAAGUCAAGGCCAAGUAAGGUGGCCCAUUAGCGCCGAGCCUUAUUGUCCGCGAAUGGGCGAGCUAAGCAUUCUUGCAUUUGGUCGCUAAAGUGUCACUUAUUUAAGUAAUGAAAUGACGUCAUCAAACUAUGCAUAGUGUUUAUGAAGUCGCGGGUGCUGCACUGUGAUGAAGACUGUGCGAUCUUGACAAUAAGGCGCCAUUAUGCUCGCUCUGAGCUCAUUCUGACCCAUUCCGCGAAUGGGCGAGCUAAGCAUUCUUGCAUUUGGUCGCUAAAGUGUCACUCAUUUUAUUUAUGAAAUGACGUCAUCAAACUAUGCAUAGUGUUUAUUAAGUCGCGGGUGCUGCACUGUGAUGCAGACUGUGCGAUCUUGACAAUAAGGCGCCAUUAUGCUCGCUUUGAGCUCAUUCUGACCCAUUCCGCGAAUGGGCGAGCUAAGCAUUCUUGCAUUUGGUUGCCAAAGUGUCACUCAUUAAUUUGAUGAAAGUAUGAAGUCAUCAAACUAUUUUUAUUAUAAAAAACACUGCUAAAACACCUUAAAGUUUUGCUCUUAAGGAGCCUUUACAUGUCUAACAAUCUAUUUCUUUAAUCGAAUAAUAAUGUUAAACACCUGGGUAUAGUGAUAUAAAUUAUAAAAAGUAUUUCAAGUAACAAAGUCAAGGCCAAGUAAGGCGGCCCAUUAGCGCCGAGCCUUAUUGUCCGCGAAUGGGCGAGCUAAGCAUUCUUGCAUUUGGUCGCUAAAGUGUCUCUCAUUUUAUUUAUGAAAUGACGUCAUCAAACUAUGCAUAGUGUUUAUUAAGUCGCGGGUGUCGCAUUGUAAUGCAGACUGUGCGAUCUUGACAAUGAGGCACCAUUAUGCUCGCUUUGAGCUCAUUCUGACCCAUUCCGCGAAUGGGCGAGCUAAGCAUUCUUGCAUUUGGUCGCUAAAGUGUCACUUAUUUAAGUAAUGAAAUGACGUCAUCAAACUAUGCAUAGUGUUUAUUAAGUCGCGGUUGUCGCUUUGUAAUGCAGACUGUGCGAUCUUGACAAUGAGGCGCCAUUAUGCUCGCUUUGAGCUCAUUCUGACCCAUUCCGCGAAUGGGCGAGCUAAGCAUUCUUGCAUUUGGUUGCCAAAGUGUCACUCAUUUUAAUUGAUGAAAUUAUGAAGUCAUCAAACUAUUUUUAUUGCAAAAAGCACUGAUAAAACACCUUAAAAUUUUGCUCUUAAGGAGCCUUUACAUGUCUUACAAUCUUUUUACUAUGUAUGUUGUCUGUUUCGCAUUUAUCACACAGAAAAUUGGUCGUUGUUGCGCGGCCGAAGCCGCGAGGAAGUGAUGGCUCAAGUUGGAAUUAUUCGCUGAUGAAUUAUUAUCUGUUAUAAUAUUUGGUCCCAUUGUUGGACUUGACACUAAGGCGCCAUUAUGCUCGCUUUGAGCUCGUUCUGACCCAUUCCGCGAAUGGGCGAGCUAAGCAUUCUUGCAUUUGGUCGCUAAAGUGUCACUCAUUUUAUUGACGAAAUAACGUCAUCAAACUAUGCAUAGUGUUUAUUAAGUCGCGGGUAUCGCAUUAUAAUGCAGACUGUGCAAUCUUGACAAUGAGGCGCCAUUAUGCUCGCUUUGAGCUCAUUCUGACCCAUUCCGCGAAUGGGCGAGCUAAGCAUUCUCGCAUUUGGUUGCCAAAGUGUCACUCAUUUAAUUGAUGAAAUAAUGAAGUCAUCAAACUAUUUUUAUUAUAAAAAAACACUGAUAAAACACCUUAAAGUUUUGCUCUUAAGGAGCCUUUACAUGUCUAACAAUCUUUUUCUUUAAUCGGAUAAUUAUAUUGAACACCUGGGUGUAAUGGUAUAAAUUAUAAAAAAAAUAUCAAGUAACAAAGUCAAGGCCAAGUAAGGUGGCCCAUUAGCGCCGAGCCUUUUUGUCUGCGAAUGGGCGAGCUAAGCAUUCUUGCAUUUGGUCGCUAAAGUGUCACUCAUUUUAUUGAUGAAAUGACGUCAUUAAACUAUGCAUAGUGUUUAUUAAGUCGCGGGUAUCGCAUUAUAAUGCAAACUGUGCGAUCUUGACAAUGAGGCACCAUUAUGCUCGCUUUGAGCUCAUUCUGACCCAUUCCGCGAAUGGGCGAGCUAAGCAUUCUCGCAUUUGGUUGCCAAAGUGUCACUCAUUUAAUUGAUGAAAUUAUGAAGUCAUCAAACUAUUUUUAUUAUAAAAAAACACUGAUAAAACACCUUAAAGUUUUGCUCUUAAGGAGCCUUUACAUGUCUAACAAUCUUUUUCUUUAAUCGGAUAAUUAUAUUAAAGACCUGGGUGUAAUGGUAUAAAUUAUAAAAAAAUAUUUCAAGUAACAAAGUCAAGGCCAAGUAAGGUGGCCCAUUAGCGCCGAGCCUUAUUGUCCGCGAAUGGGCGAGCUAAGCAUUCUUGCAUUUGGUCGCUAAAGUGUCACUCAUUUUAUUGAUGAAAUGACGUCAUUAAACUAUGCAUAGUGUUUAUUAAGUCGCGGGUAUCGCAUUAUAAUGCAAACUGUGCGAUCUUGACAAUGAGGCACCAUUAUGCUCGCUUUGAGCUCAUUCUGACCCAUUCCGCGAAUGGGCGAGCUAAGCAUUCUCGCAUUUGGUCGCUAAAGUGUCACUUAUUUAAUUGAUGAAAUGACGUCAUCAAACUAUGCAUAGUGUUUAUUAAGUCGCGGGUAUCGCAUUAUAAUGCAGACUGUUCAAUCUUGACAAUGAGGCGCCAUUAUGCUCGCUUUGAGCUCAUUCUGACCCAUUCCGCGAAUGGGCGAGCUAAGCAUUCUUGCAUUUGGUUGCCGAGGUGUCACCCAUUUAAUUGAUGAAAUUAUGAAGUCAUCAAACUUUUUUUAUUAUAAAAAACACUGAUAAAAUACCUUAAAGUUUUGCUCUUAAGGAGCCUUUACAUGUCUUACAAUCUUUUUGCUAUGUUACUUAUGUAUUCUGUCUCACAUUUAUCGUGUGAGCUAAGAAUAAAUGCAACUUAGGAUCAAGUUGCAAUAUUUUGUGCUGUAUUAUUAUCUUACAUUCUUGUUACUAUUAUUGAUGCUUUUCGGUCUUGCUUGUGGACAUUUCGAUAUAAUGUCCAAUUUCCAAGAUUUCGAUAACUACUACAUUCGCCAUUAUGCUCGCUUUGAGCUCGUUCUGACCCAUUCCGCGAAUGGGCGAGCUAAGCAUUCUUGCAUUUGGUUGCCGAGGUGUCACUCAUUUAAUUGAUGAAAUUUUGAAGUCAUCAAACUUUUUUUAUUAUAAAAAAACAUUGAUAAAACACCUUAAAGUUUUGCUCUUAAGGAGCCUUUACAUGUCUAACAAUCUAUUUCUUUAAUCGGACAAUUAUGUUAAAGACCUGGGUGUAAUGGUAUAAAUUAUAAAAAAAUAUUUCAAGUAACAAAGUCAAGGCCAAGUAAGGUGGCCCAUUAGCGCCGAGCCUUAUUGUCCGCGAAUGGGCGAGCUAAGCAUUCUUGCAUUUGGUCGCUAAAGUGUCACUCAUUUUAUUGAUGAAAUGACGUCAUCAAACUAUGCAUAGUGUUUAUUAAGUCGCGGGUAUCGCAUUAUAAUGCAAACUGUGUGAUCUUGACAAUGAGGCACCAUUAUGCUCGCUUUGAGCUCAUUCUGACCCAUUCCGCGAAUGGGCGAGCUAAGCAUUCUCGCAUUUGGUCGCUAAAGUGUCACUUAUUUAAUUGAUGAAAUGACGCCAUCAAACUAUGCAUAGUGUUUAUUAAGUCGCGGGUAUCGCAUUAUAAUGCAGACUGUUCAAUCUUGACAAUGAGGCGCCAUUAUGCUCGCUUUGAGCUCAUUCUGACCCAUUCCGCGAAUGGGCGAGCUAAGCAUUCUUGCAUUUGGUUGCCAAAGUGUCACUCAUUUAACUGAUGAAAUUAUGAAGUCAUCAAACUAUUUUUAUUAUAAAAACACUGAUAAAACACCUUAAAGUUUUGCUCUUAAGGAGCCUUUACAUGUCUUACAAUCUUUUUGCUAUGUUACUUAUGUAUUCUGUCUCACAUUUAUCGUGUGAGCUAAGAAUAAAUGCAACUUAGGAUCAAGUUGCAAUAUUUUGUGCUGUAUUAUUAUCUUACAUUCUUGUUACUAUUAUUGAUGCUUUUCGGUCUUGCUUGUGGACAUUUCGAUAUAAUGUCCAAUUUCCAAGAUUUCGAUAACUACUACAUUCGCCAUUAUGCUCGCUUUGAGCUCGUUCUGACCCAUUCCGCGAAUGGGCGAGCUAAGCAUUCUUGCAUUUGGUCGCUAAAGUGUCACUUAUUUAAGUAAUGAAAUGACGUCAUCAAACUAUGUUUAUUAAGUCGCGGGUGCUGCACUGUGAUGCAGACUGUGCGAUCUUGACAAUGAGGCGCCAUUAUGCUCGCUUUGAGCUCAUUCUGACCCAUUCCGCGAAUGGGCGAGCUAAGCAUUCUUGCAUUUGGUUGCCCAGGUGUCACUCAUUUAAUUGAUGAAAUUAUGAAGUCAUCAAACUUUUUUUAUUAUAAAAAAACACUGAUAAAACACCUUAAAGUUUUGCUCUUAAGGAGCCUUUACAUGUCUAACAAUCUAUUUCUUUAAUCGGAUAAUUAUAUUAAACACCUGGGUGUAGUGAUAAAAAUUAUAAAAAGUAUUUCAACUUUCAAGUAACAAAGUCAAGGCCAAGUAAGGCGGCCCAUUAGCGCCGAGCCUUAUUGUCCGCGAAUGGGUGAGCUAAGCAUUCUUGCAUUUGGUCGCUAAAGUGUCACUCAUUUUAUUUAUGAAAUGACGUCAUCAAACUAUGCAUAGUGUUUAUUAAGUCGCGGGUGCUGCACUGUGAUGCAGACUGUGCGAUCUUGACAAUGAGGCGCCAUUAUGCUCGCUUUGAGCUCAUUCUGACCCAUUCCGCGAAUGGGCGAGCUAAGCAUUCUUGCAUUUGGUUGCCAAAGUGUCACUCAUUUAAUUGAUGAAAUUAUGAAGUCAUCAAACUAUUUUUAUUAUAAAAAAACACUGAUAAAACACCUUAAAGUUUUGCUCUUAAGGAGCCUUUACAUGUCUAACAAUCUAUUUCUUUAAUCGGAUAAUUAUAUUAAACACCUGGGUGUAGUGAUAAAAAUUAUAAAAAGUAUUUCAACUUUCAAGUAACAAAGUCAAGGCCAAGUAAGGCGGCCCAUUAGCGCCGAGCCUUAUUGUCCGCGAAUGGGUGAGCUAAGCAUUCUUGCAUUUGGUCGCUAAAGUGUCACUCAUUUUAUUUAUGAAAUGACGUCAUCAAACUAUGCAUAGUGUUUAUUAAGUCGCGGGUGCUGCACUGUGAUGCAGACUGUGCGAUCUUGACAAUGAGGCGCCAUUAUGCUCGCUUUGAGCUCAUUCUGACCCAUUCCGCGAAUGGGCGAGCUAAGCAUUCUUGCAUUUGGUUGCCAAAGUGUCACUCAUUUAAUUGAUGAAAUUAUGAAGUCAUCAAACUAUUUUUAUUAUAAAAAAACACUGAUAAAACACCUUAAAGUUUUGCUCUUAAGGAGCCUUUACAUGUCUAACAAUCUAUUUCUUUAAUCGGAUAAUUAUAUUAAACACCUGGGUGUAGUGAUAAAAAUUAUAAAAAGUAUUUCAACUUUCAAGUAACAAAGUCAAGGCCAAGUAAGGCGGCCCAUUAGCGCCGAGCCUUAUUGUCCGCGAAUGGGUGAGCUAAGCAUUCUUGCAUUUGGUCGCUAAAGUGUCACUCAUUUUAUUUAUGAAAUGACGUCAUCAAACUAUGCAUAGUGUUUAUUAAGUCGCGGGUGCUGCACUGUGAUGCAGACUGUGCGAUCUUGACAAUGAGGCGCCAUUAUGCUCGCUUUGAGCUCAUUCUGACCCAUUCCGCGAAUGGGCGAGCUAAGCAUUCUUGCAUUUGGUUGCCAAAGUGUCACUCAUUUAAUUGAUGAAAUUAUGAAGUCAUCAAACUAUUUUUAUUAUAAAAAAACACUGAUAAAACACCUUAAAGUUUUGCUCUUAAGGAGCCUUUACAUGUCUAUUAAUCUUUUUCUUUAAUCGGAUAAUAAUAUUAAAGAUCUGUGUGUAAUGGUAUAAAUUAUAAAAAAAUAUUUCAAGUAACAAAGUCAAGGCCAAGUAACUCAUUAGCGCCGAGCCUUAUUGUCCGCGAAUGGGUGAGCUAAGCAUUCUUGCAUUUGGUCGCUAAAGUGUUUCACAAUGGUCCUUCGUGGGCUGCUGAAUAUUCUGAAUAUGUUCAUAUCUAGAUUAGUUUCAUCCGUUCAUGGACCUAUCCUUUUUAUAGAGGCGUUAUCAUUCUAUGGCUGCGAUCGUCAUUCGUGGGCCGUAUUUUCCCUGCGCCUGACGUAGGUGAGGUUUCAUAUUCUCGUACAUAUUUUUCUGUAUUUUCUAAUAUUCUUUUUUUCUUUUCAAUAUUUCUUAAUAUUAUGGGUGUUGUUCAAUUUUAUAUAACAAAGGUUUGACACCUAUUGUUCUGCUAGACGUUAAAUGUUUGAGCUUUGUCGUGCUAAAAACAAUUGCACAACUGAAAUAAAUUAUUAAAAAAUGUUUCAAGUAACUAAGUCAAGGCCAAUUAAGGUGACCCAUUUGCGCCGAGUCUUACUGUUCUUACAUUAUUUUCUAGAAUUAAUAUUUCGAACGCAAAUGUUCAAAUAUAUUACUACGCCACGUCUUACACGGCAGGAUCAGGCACGUUUUAUCAAAUUUACCGUAUUUCACAAGCAAUUCUAAUAAAUAGUGUAAUGGACUUGAUAUUUAGUACAAAUAAUUAUGUAGUAAUGUGAAAAGAUAGAUACCCUGACCAUAAAUAGUAAUCCAAUAACCAAACCGGUCAGUAGGAGGAAGCCGAGUUACCUCUAGGUAUAUAAUACGCCAAAAGCAUCGAGGAAUACUUUUACACCAGAAUAUAUUAAAUUAACACAUUUAAUAGCUUUUACACCUAUAAAAAGAUAGUGAGCUCUAGAGUUCACAAUAACAUCGAUAAAGCAGCGCUUCUGCAGACCCAAGGUCAUUAAGUGCAUCGAUAUACCUCGAUUGAAACAACAAUCUGUAUUAGGUAUUAGUCUUUGAUUAUAUCGAUUUAGAUACGAACGUGUAAGAUUUCGAAAUAUUGUUGUAAUUUUCUGAACAUAGUUUUUGAGGGUUUUUGAGUUGCGGCAAGGUUGUUACUUUGUUUCUUCUUUUCAUGUAGGAAGGCAUAACUUUGUAAACAGUUUUUCUUAUGUCACUUAGCACGGGCAAAUAUAGAUUUGUCAAAUCUCGACUUUCUUUGCAAAGCGACUAUGUGUAUUUUAUGAGGAUAGCAAUAAAACGCUGGCAGAGUUUUUAAACGCCCGUGCAAAUUGUUUUUCAUGUUAAGUUUAUUUUCUUCUUGAUAGUAUGCAUUGUGUUGUUAUUAUAUUAAUGCUAUUGUAUCUUAGCAAUAAAAAGUUUGACAAUGUUAGAUGUGGGCUUGUGGAGAUAAAAUUUUGUUAUUUAGUAAUUUUAUGAUUGUAACCAUGCAUUAAAAAUUAUAUAAAAAUAUUCCGUUUAAUAAUAACAAAGGCUAAAAUGUCAAUUUGUUUAAUUGAAAAUUGAUAAGGGAUAUGGAUUAUUUAGAUGUGCGGUCAGUAUUUAUAAAUAUCCACUCUAAUUGAGCCACAGUACAGAAUUAACAGUGGUAGAAUCACUCCCCUCUUCGUGUUUUCAAAUAUUCUAUUUAAAUUACAUCUUAACUCAUUUCUACAGGAGAGGGAGUGAAUCUCCGUUGUUUUAAACCUGUUAAUACUUUAAUUAUUGCAAUUGUUUAAAAUUUAUU